rnacentral:rRNA from 1 species
UACGGAGGGCGCAAGCGUUGUCCGGAAUUAUUGGGCGUAAAGAGCGCGUAGGCGGUUUGUCGCGUCUGCUGUGAAAACCUAAGGCUCAACCUUGGGCUUGCAGUGGGUACGGGCAGACUAGAGUGCGGUAGGGGUGACUGGAAUUCCUGGUGUAGCGGUGGAAUGCGCAGAUAUCAGGAGGAACACCGAUGGCGAAGGCAGGUCACUGGGCCGCAACUGACGCUGAGGAGCGAAAGCAUGGGGAGCGAACAGG